UGAAGUAUAGCCAAGUGGUAAGGCCUCCGUUUUUGGUGCGGAAAAUCAAAGGUU
rnacentral:tRNA from 2 species